UACGGGGGGGCAAGCGUUGUUCGGAAUUACUGGGCGUAAAGGGCUCGUAGGCGGCCAACUAAGUCAGACGUGAAAUCCCCAGGCUCAACCUGGGAACUGCGUCUGAUACUGGAUGGCUUGAAUUCGGGAGAGGGAUGCAGAAUUCCAGGUGUAGCGGUGAAAUGCGUAGAUAUCUGGAGGAAUACCGGUGGCGAAGGCGGCAUCCUGGACCGACAUUGACGCUGAGGAGCGAAAAGCUAGGGGAGCAAACGGGG
rnacentral:rRNA from 1 species